AUUGAAGCUGGCGGCAGGCCUAACACAUGCAAGUCGAGCGAGCGGCGAACGGGUGAGUAAUGCCUCGGAACGUGCCUGGUAGCGGGGGAUAACUUCCCGAAAGGGGCGCUAAUACCGCAUACUAUCGGACCGGCCUAUAUCGGAUUAGCUAGUUGGUGGGGUAACGGCUCACCAAGGCGACGAUCCGUAGCUGGUCUGAGAGGACGACCAGCCACACUGGAACUGAGACACGGUCCAGACGCGUACGGGAGGCAGCAGUGGGGAAUUGUGCACAAUGGGGGAAACCUGAUGCAGCCAUGCCGCGUGUGUGAAGAAGGCCUUCGGUUGUAAAGCACUUUUAGCGGGGAGGCGGUACCCGCAGAAGAAGCACCGGCUAACUCCGUGCCAGCAGCCGCGGUAAGAC
rnacentral:rRNA from 1 species